UACUUGUGAUUCGGUACUUUGAUUAGAAACACGGUGGGUAAGGUUGUACUGUGAGAGAUCGUUCUAUACUGGUGAUUCGGUAGGUACUGUGAUUAGAAACACAGUGGGUAAGGUUGUCCUGUGAGAGAACGUUCUAUGCUGGUGAUUCGGUACUGUGAUUACAAACACGGUGUGUAAGGUUGUCCUGUGAGAGAACGUUCAGUGCUGGUGAUUCGGUACUGUGAUAA
rnacentral:lncRNA from 1 species